CCGUGCCGCUGUUGAUCAGUGUCGUGGGUGCCGGGAGAAGGAGCAUCGACAAAGGGUUUUGGCCAAUUUUUCUUUCCCUUUGCUUGGGGAGUCGAGCAGAGAGGCGGAUCUUGCAUCGGAAGGGUCCAUGAUCUCUUUCUCUUCACUGAUUUGGAUUUGGGAAUGUGAGAAGCUUGAUUUGUUGUGGCUAUGUUUCUUCAGCGGAGGAGGGAAAGAAGGAGAUUAUUAAGGACUGUGAUUCGAGAUU